CGGGGCGGGAAGGAGACCGAGAGGAGGAGGAGGAGGAGGAGGAGGAAGAAGAGAAGGAGGCGGAGAAGUUGUCCUGGCCACAAAGGGGGAUUGCAAGCAUGGAGCAUGAAAAGCUGCCUCACCAAUUGAUGCUCUUCAUGCAACACCUCACUCUCUACCAGUGGUGGCUCUUAGGGAAAAGGCUGCAUGCAGAUACAAGUGGAGGAGCAGUGAAGUGACUUGUGUUUCCUGUGGAAGUCUGUCUUCACAGGCAUUGCUGCCAUGGUCUGUGACCCAGCUCCAUCUUAGCUACACUGAAGGUUUUGAGAGACUGGGCAGUUGUUGGAAACAUUGACUGAAAGAUUCAUUUUUCAAGGACCUCACCUGAAAAUUCAGAAGGAAAAUAUUGUCAAUGCUUGUGCCUAUGGAUGUCUCCAAUUAUGUCCAUGUCCUUCUUACACCAGGGACCCCAUAACUGGACAGGAGGAGCACAGACAAGACCCCAACCUGGGAAAACCAGGUCACCGGCUGUACUCUAGGAUGAAUCAGUGUAUUGAAGUUGACAUGAAGGACAAUUCCACAGAUGAUGGGAUUUGGGAGAGUAUCACAGCUAAGACUAUCUAUGGAAGACUGGAGGACACAGACUACGUGAAAUCUCACACGGGGCUCUCAACCUGCUUCCUCCCACUCACAUUCCACUUAAUAAAUAAACCUUGCUCAACAAAAAAGCAAUUUUACUGUACUAUGCUGAUUUGCUUGAAAAUCCUCAUUAAGGGCCCGCUCGCAAAAAGCUCCUCCAAGCCCUUGUCUGGCUGGUGCUCAGCACCUGGCAGGAUUUGUCCCUAGAUAAAAGCAAUUUCUCAAGGGACCUUGUGUCUUACACAAGGAGACAAAAGCAAAUAUUCUUUUUUUGGAUUUUAUGUCUGUAUGUUUUUGUAUGCGCACAUGUGUGUGAGUGUAUAUAUAUAUAUAUAUAUGUAUAUAUAUAUAUUUAGUAUAUACAAAAGCAAAUUCAGUCAAAAUAUAUUUGUCUUGCUGGUCAGGCUUGUUACAGCAACCUACAAGAAACAUUAGCUUCU